UACAGAGGGUGCGAGCGUUGUCCGGAAUCACUGGGCGUAAAGGGCGCGUAGGUGGCCCGACAAGUCAGUGGUGAAAGUUCGACGCUUAACGUCGAAUCGGCCACUGAUACUGUUGGGCUGGAGCACUGUAGAGGCUCAUGGAAUUCCGGGUGUAGCGGUGGAAUGCGUAGAGAUCCGGAAGAACACCGGUGGCGAAGGCGGUCUGCUGGGCAGUUGCUGACACUGAGGCGCGACAGCGUGGGGAGCAAACAGG
rnacentral:rRNA from 1 species